GACGAACGCUGGCGGCGUGCUUAACACAUGCAAGUCGAACGGAAAGGCCCUGCUUUUGUGGGGUGCUCGAGUGGCGAACGGGUGAGUAACACGUGAGUAACCUACCCUUGACUUUGGGAUAACUUCAGGGAACUGGGGCUAAUACCGGAUAGGAGCUCCUGCUGCAUGGUGGGGGUUGGAAAGUUUCGGCGGUUGGGGAUGGACUCGCGGCUUAUCAGCUUGUUGGUGGGGUAGUGGCUUACCAAGGCUUUGACGGGUAGCCGGCCUGAGAGGGUGACCGGCCACAUUGGGACUGAGAUACGGCCCAGACUCCUACGGGAGGCAGCAGUGGGGAAUAUUGCACAAUGGGCGGAAGCCUGAUGCAGCAACGCCGCGUGCGGGAUGACGGCCUUCGGGUUGUAAACCGCUUUCGCCUGUGACGAAGCGUGAGUGACGGUAAUGGGUAAAGAAGCACCGGCUAACUACGUG
rnacentral:rRNA from 1 species